UACGAAGGGGGGCUAGCGUUGCUCGGAUUGACUGGGCGUAAAGGGCGCGUAGGCGGUUCGUACAGUCAGACGUGAAAAUUCCUGGGCUCAACCUGGGGGGCUGCGUUUGAUACGUGCGGACUUGAGUGCGGAAGAGGGUCGUGGAAUUCCCAGUGUAGAGGUGAAAUUCGUAGAUAUUGGGAAGAACACCGGUGGCGAAGGCGGCGACCUGGUCCGAUACUGACGCUGAGGCGCGAAAGCGUGGGGGAGCAAACAGG
rnacentral:rRNA from 1 species